GACGAACGCUGGCGGAGUGCCUAAUACAUGCAAGUCGAGCGAAUGACGAGAAGCUUGCUUCUCUGAUUUAGCGGCGGACGGGUGAGUAACACGUGGGCCACAUGCCCUACAGAUCGGGAUAACUCAGGGAAACCUGGGCUAAUACCGGAUAAUCCUUCGAACCACAUGUUUUGAAGUUGAAAGUCGCCUCGGCGUCACUGUAGGAUGGGCCGGCGGUGCAUUAGCUAGUUGGUGGGGUACUAGCCUACCAAGGCAACGAUGCAUAGCCGACCUGAGAGGGUGAUCGGCCACAUUGGGACUGAGACACAGCCCAAACUCCUACGGGAGGCAGCAGUAGGGAAUCUUCCACAAUGGACGAAAGUCUGAUGGAGCAACGCCGCGUGAGUGAUGAAGGUUUUCGGAUCGUAAAACUCUGUUGUAAGGGAAGAACAAGUACGUUAGGAAAUGAACGUACCUUGACGGUACCUUAUUAGAAAGCCACGGCUAACUACGUGCCAGCCGCCGCGGUAA
rnacentral:rRNA from 1 species